GUCUUCGUGGCUCAGUUGGUUAGAGCGCCGGUCUCAUAUUAUAUCCCAAUAUAAUUCUCUAUGACUCGAUCGUUUCAACGAUUGAGAUAUCCGGAGAUCGCCAGUUCGAUCCUGGCCGAGGACA
rnacentral:tRNA from 1 species